UACAGAGGGCUCAAGCGUUGUUCGGAUUCACUGGGCGUAAAGGGUGCGUAGGUGGCCAGGUAAGUUCGGUGUGAAAGCUCGGAGCUUAACUCCGAAAUGGCAUUGAAUACUAUCUGGCUAGAGGGUCGGAGGGGAGACUGGAAUUCUCGGUGUAGCAGUGAAAUGCGUAGAUAUCGAGAGGAACACCAGUGGCGAAGGCGAGUCUCUGGACGACUCCUGACACUGAGGCACGAAAGCCAGGGGAGCAAACAGG
rnacentral:rRNA from 1 species